rnacentral:rRNA from 1 species
UACGUAGGGGGCUAGCGUUGUCCGGAAUCAUUGGGCGUAAAGCGCGUGUAGGCGGUCCGGUAAGUCCGCUGUGAAAGUCGGGGGCUCAACCCUCGGAUGCCGGUGGAUACUGUCGGGCUUGAGUACGGAAGAGGCGAGUGGAAUUCCUGGUGUAGCGGUGAAAUGCGCAGAUAUCAGGAGGAACACCAAUUGCGAAGGCAGCUCGCUGGGACGUGGCUGACGCUCAUGCACGAAAGCGUGGGGAAGCAAACAGG